UUUCGUGAAGAAUAAUAUUGGUUAGAUCUGCAAGAUCAAAGGAUUGAUUAGCCCUGUUUAAGUGGGCCAAGAAGAUGGUAAGGAAUACAGAAGAUGCUGAUUGGGAAAAAGGGUGACCUUGUUCUUAAAAAAAGGUGAUGGGUGGAUUUGGUUUGGUUCGACAGGGGAAGCUCUUCUGGAGCUUAAGCUGGGUUUCAAAGACUCCAAGCAGUUGUUGUGGAGCUGGCGGCCUAGUGCCUACCGAUUCCCACCCUUGCUCAUCCUGGCUCGACGUCUCCUGCCACCCUUCCGACCUCACCGUCCGAUCAUUUGACUUUCCUUAUAUGUAGCUCGGUGGCAUCAUCUCCAUGAGUAUUGGCCAGAUUCGGAGGCUUCAAAGAUUGGCUUUGCACCAAAACAGCUUGCACAGUCCUAUUCCAAUUGUGAUAAAGAACUGCACUGAGCUAAGAGCAUU